ACCAAAAUCGCCAAACUAGUACGGUUGGCAUUUUGGUUCAGAAACGGCUUUAACCCGUUCCUGAUUUGACAUGGUAUUAAACCGUACUGAAAUAGUUGCUGUUGUACAUUGUUACUUUCGCUUUUUUGUUGGUGUGUCCUGAUUGAGUGUUGGAUAUUCUUAUUUCUUAUUAUUAUAGCUUAUUGUAUUAUUUUGAAACAGAUGGACGUAAUGGAUUCUAUUAGAACCCUCUAAGGGGACCCCACAUGGCCCAAGGUCACAUUUACUUAAAUUUGCCGUAGACUACUCGAUCAUUUACGAUAUGAAAAGAUUUCGGGAGCAUAUCAUACGAUUUCCUUACAAAGAGAAGUAAAGGACCCUUUCCUUCCGUGCGAUUUUCUUUCUCCUUUCAUCUCUCUCAUUUUUUGCUUGAUUUCAGAGAAAAAAUGGCGGAUCAGCUCACGGGCGACCAGAUCUUUGAGUUCAAGGAGGCCUUUAGCUUGUUUGACAAGGACGGAGACGAUCUGAUGGCGUAUCGCUUGGAUUCGUUGAAAUCAGUGGGGUUUUGGCUUGGAUCCUAGAAAAUUAGGGUUUGAUCUAUUCUCGUUUGGUGUAUGUGUGUGUUGUGAUUUGUGAAGGCAUAGGUGGGGAUUGUUUCAGAUCGGGUGGAUUUUCUUCGUGAAAGAUCAUUUAUUUAUUAUUAUUUUU